rnacentral:rRNA from 1 species
AACGAACGCUGGCGGCAGGCUUAACACAUGCAAGUCGAACGCAUCGCAAGAUGAGUGGCAGACGGGUGAGUAACGCGUGGGAACAUACCCUUUUCUACGGAAUAGCUCUGGGAAACUGGAAUUAAUACCGUAUACGCCCUACGGGGGAAAGAUUUAUCGGGGAAGGAUUGGCCCGCGUUGGAUUAGCUAGUUGGUGGGGUAAAGGCCUACCAAGGCGACGAUCCAGAGCUGGUCUGAGAGGAUGAUCAGCCACAUUGGGACUGAGACACAGCCCAAACUCCUACGGGAGGCAGCAGUGGGGAAUAUUGGACAAUGGGCGCAAGCCUGAUCCAGCCAUGCCGCGUGAGUGAUGAAGGCCUUAGGGUUGUAAAGCUCUUUCACCGAUGAAGAUAAUGACGGUAGUCGGAGAAGAAGCCCCGGCUAACUUCGUGCCAGCCGCCGCUGUAAGAC